UUGGAGUUGUCACAGGUGAAUUUAAAUAUAUUUUAUAUAAUUGACUUGGAGAAAAAAAAAAAAAACAAAGUUGGUAGGGGUAGGACUAUUAAAAGAGGAAGUUGAUUGGAUAUUAUCAACGUGACGUAUAUUUACCUUGGUAAAAGCACAGGGACAGACACAUCUAAAUGCAUAAUAGAUAUUUGUAAUACUCGUGUGAUCUUUUUUAUCUGUUAGCCAUUAAAAGUCUUCAUAUACCCUUUCAUUUGGUAUUCAGAUAAGACCUUUAAAUUCUGUAAGUGGUCAGUUGUCAUAUAGUUUUCUAUUUGUAGGUAAGUUUAACCUGGGAAAACUGUAUAAGAAGAUUGGCUUCGACAAGGAAAUCAUAUCAAGGGGGAAUUUGCAGAGGUUCGUGCUGCUGAACAACAACCCUUUAAGUACAUUGUCUUGUUGCAUACUCUGUUUUGUGUGAUCUCUUUUGUAAUCCUGCAAAGAGAUAGAGUUAUUAAUUCUCUUUUUCCUUCCUAAUUCAGACUAGAGGAAGCUGAACUCUUUGCUAAGUCUGCACAGAAUUCGUAUAAUAAGCAAUUUCGGGACAAGGCAGCUUCUUCCAAAUCAAUGACUAUAGAUAAAAUGGAGGAAGUUGCACAAGGGAGAGUUUGGGCAGGUAAAGAUGCAGCUUCAAGGGAUUUAGUUAAUGCUAUUGGUGGACUUUCUCAGGUUGUUGCAAUAGCAAAGCUCAAGGCAAAUAUACCACAAGACACAGAGGUUGGUGACAAAAAUCUUAUUUCAGUGGGUAGGCAUAUGCUAGAGAUAAUAAUGAGUUAAUGCAGCAAGUUCGCUUCAUAGUUUCUUUUGUGUUAUGAUCUUGUGUUUUUUACAUGUACUUGUCAGUAUGUUUCUGUAAAAAGUUAUUUGAUUGGUUUUUCCACUUAAAUGCUUUAGUAAAUCAAAGACUCUAAAAUGCUGAACUAAAUGAUUUAUCUUUGUCUUGUAUACAGUAGGUGUGGGUAGUCUCGAGUGAGCAGCAAAGCUUGCAAAGCUAGACUAUUGAUCCAGAUGCAGCUAGAACUACAGAAAGACAUCAAAAAGCUCCUAAAAGGCCUAUUCGUAUUAGUGCUUGGAAGCUUGCAAAGCUAGACUCCAAUGAUGCCAUGAGAGCGGCAAAGCUUGCCAAGCUAGACUCCUUAAGUAAAUUUCUGGAUGUGUAUUGCUAGGAGAGUAGUAUUAGAUGCACUCCUUUUGUGGAUGAAAGAUUACUUUGCACAAUCUACUUGUUGCAUGAUUUGGAUUAUAACAAUUUCUUCUAUA